GGUUAUGUAGCUCAGCUGGUAGAGUGCUUGCCUAGCAUGCAUAAAGUCCUGGGUUUGAUCCCCAGCAACACAU
rnacentral:tRNA from 1 species